AGUGAACGCUGGCGGUAGGCCUAACACAUGCAAGUCGAACGGCAGCACAGUAAGAGCUUGCUCUUACGGGUGGCGAGUGGCGGACGGGUGAGGAAUACAUCGGAAUCUACUUUUUCGUGGGGGAUAACGUAGGGAAACUUACGCUAAUACCGCAUACGACCUACGGGUGAAAGCAGGGGAUCUUCGGACCUUGCGCGAUUGAAUGAGCCGAUGUCGGAUUAGCUAGUUGGCGGGGUAAAGGCCCACCAAGGCGACGAUCCGUAGCUGGUCUGAGAGGAUGAUCAGCCACACUGGAAAUGAGACACGGUCCAGACUCCUACGGGAGGCAGCAGUGGGGAAUAUUGGACAAUGGGCGCAAGCCUGAUCCAGCCAUACCGCGUGGGUGAAGAAGGCCUUCGGGUUGUAAAGCCCUUUUGUUGGGAAAGAAAAGCAGCAGGUUAAUACCCCGAUGUUCUGACGGUACCCAAAGAAUAAGCACCGGCUAACUUCGUG
rnacentral:rRNA from 1 species